AGACAUAUCCGAUAACGAUGUGGAGGCGUUGUUGGGUAAGUUAUUCAGGAACUAUCAAGGGGUACCAGUACUCCCGGAAGUCCUUCGUCAGUUUGAUGGUUGGUAUGGACCAACAGAGGUAUUUUCUUCUUUCCUUUGCUUACUUUGGGUAGUUGAAGGUGUAGUAAUACUUUCCGAGUAACAAUUAUUGUCUUGUGGUUGUAGUCCUAGGUGCUUCUUGGUUUGUU
rnacentral:lncRNA from 1 species